AUAAACUAGACUUGGCAAAUUCAUCACCUGGUUAAGUAAAGAGUAUGGCACAUACCAGUGGCAACACUAUGAUGAAAUGGCUGGUAGCAGCACUGGUAAUUGCCUUCUUGGGUGGUGAAGUAGCUCAAGCUGUUGUGAUAUGUAACAUUAACACCGACAACCUAGGCGUAUGCCGUGCAGCAGUUACCGGCAACCGCCCGCCACCACCGAACAAGCAAUGUUGCGCCCUUGUCCGAGGUGCCAAUAUCCCUUGCCUUUGCACCUACAAGUCAGCCCUACCUGCACUUGGAAUAAACCCUGCAAAUGCUUUGGCCUUGCCCGGUAAAUGUGGUAUGAAGAAACCUCCAUGUUAAGUCAAGUGAAGCAACUCAGGAAGGUUGAGUCCUUUACAACUAUACAAGCAUCCUUUUUAGUCUUAACUUCAGUGUGAUUAAUUGGCAAUGAAAUAAGCUUCUAAGAUAGCCAUUUUGGACCCCUCAAAUAAACUACUUGUUUAUCAGUGUUGUUUCCCCUCAUGUGUGCAAGCAGAUAUAUAUAUAUGAUGUAGCAUAAGUGUCUUGUGUUGUAGUGAGGAUUGUUAUAAAGGUGUUUGAUGUACAACAAUUCAAGGUCACUAUUGCUCAAUAGGAAUAUCAAGACAGCUAUGAGAUACUUGUGUAAUUUGAGAUCUGUUUAAUAGAAUAUGUUACUUGUGUUACUGAA